UCCAGGCCAACUAGGACUACAUAAUGCGACUCUGUUAAAAAGAUAAAAUUAAAAAAUAAAAAUAAUAGGAGCCUAAAACCAUCAGGAAGAGGCAGUGAGAAUUAAAUGCUGGAUGAGAAGGCUGGAUGCUCUGCCCAGAGCCUGUCACUGUACCACCAAUGGUGACUAUGACAGCAAGAUGAAGGCCACCUGGACUCUGGAUUCAAAUGCAUGCCUCCCAAAAGCUGCCCUCUCAGUAGGUUGACUGUUUAAGCAGAAGGUUUCUUGGAAAACAGCAGAGGCAGGAGGAUGGCUCAUCCCUAGAUGCUGUUUCUAAAAGCAGGAGGUAAAGCUCCUGCAUGGAAGAUGCAAAGUCCCAAUCUAGCAGCGAGAAGUCAGGACUGGGGAGUGGGCACUGACAGACUUCGCUAAGACUGAGUGGGUUUUGUUUUUGUUGCUAUUUCCCUGCUCACAGAAUCUGGUGGGAUUCAGGGAAGGACAUCUAUAGCUUCAGGUGCUCAGCCCUAGAGGUAAGGAUGGGUCCCCUCCCCCAGCUGCAGGCUUGAUGUGGAAACGGCACCCACAUUUGCAUGCUUUCAAAGUCCCUCCUGUGGACUGGAGAGAUGGCUGAGUUACAGACCAGGCCACAGCAGACCUGCCAAGCCUGCCCACCUCCUGCUGCAGGGGAGAAGACAGAACCCACUUGUGGGCUUGACUCUGCAGCUGUGGCUCAGGUAUAGUUCCGGGCAGUCCUUUGAGCUGGAGACUGGGCUUGAAGAGGAAGGGAGGCUGCAACACUCUGCUUGAGCCUGUCUCUUCCUUUUGCCCAUGAGUCACUCACACACUUACAGAGCAGGGCGAGUGCAUUGGAGGAAGGCAUGAGGGAGGAGAUGCAGGAGGUGGCCAUUUCUCAGCUGUGUCCCCACCGUGGUGAAAGGAAUAAGGGAGAAAAGCAUCAGGCCUGUGAGUCUUGUUCAGUGAAGCAGCCUGCACAGCGGUGACUGGUAGUCCUGGUGACUGGUCUCAAUGCUUAAGAAGGGACAGGUGAAGACCUUAGUCGAGGAGGAUAUAUCGGCUUGGUUAUGGCUACAGUUCACAUUGGAUAAAGAGUGAAAUAACAGUACCCCAGGCCCAGCACGCACUCCCAACAGACACCAUGACUCUGUGUCUGGUUCAACCCAGGAGUGAGCUGGCCCGACUAUGUGGCAGGUGUAUCCCAUAGCCAGUCAAACAUGGUCUCUCCACUCUGCUUUGUUAUCCGGUGGCCAUGAUGUCAUGGUCAAAGCACAAACACAAGGAGCCAGCCCAUCAGAGAAAGGAGGCAGAGGAGAUCCAGCUUUCCUCCUCUGGAGGCAGAUGGCUUCCAUUGCUACUCUGUUCCUGCACUCACACUGGCUGAAAUGGAACCUGGCGAGUGGAGUCUUUAACAGGACAGCCAUGUGUCCAGGUUGGAUGCUGUUCCUAGGUAAGAAGCAGGGGUGAGACUUGGGGGUGGUCAAUGGAGGUCUCUGCUAUUACACCCUGUCUUUGUUAGGAUUUUACUGCUGCGAAC
rnacentral:sRNA from 1 species